ACUGCUUUGGGCGAUGGAGUCCCAAAGAAAGUUGCUGAGUUUUUGCCUUUCAACCAAAGCAAAAUGUGGAAGUUGCUAGAGUUUGAAAAAACGUGCGCGCGUCGGGAGAAAA